rnacentral:rRNA from 1 species
UGUCCUCUAAAGAGCCGUUGAAGACUACGACGUUGAUAGGUUGGAUGUGGAAGUGCGGUGACGCAUGAAGCUGACCAAUACUAAUUGCUCGUGAGGCUUGACUAUACAACACCCAAGCAGUUG